UCGCCUCUGGGAUAAAGCAAUCCCUGAAACCUGUUGACCAUCCUCUUCACUUUGUCUGCUAAAACAUUCUGUUUUUAGCUGAUCAUUAACGGAUGGGAUAUUU
rfam:Brachypodium distachyon strain Bd21 chromosome 1, whole genome shotgun sequence.